GUACACGCUGUGACUAGCAUAUCAAUAAGCGGAGGAAAAGAAACUAACAAGGAUUCCCCUAGUAACGGCGAGUGAAGCGGGAAGAGCUCAAAUUUGAAAUCUUAAAGGGUUUCCCUUUACGAAUUGUAGUUUAAAGAAGUGUUUUCUGUUGAGGUUUUGGUAAAAGUUCUUUGGAAUAGGACAUCAUAGAGGGUGAGAAUCCCGUAUUUGACCUUUACUUUCAACUUUGUGAUACACUUUCAAAGAGUCGGAUUGUUUGGGAAUGCAGUCCAAAAUGGGUGGUAAAUUUCAUCUAAAGCUAAAUAUUGGCGAGAGACCGAUAGCGAACAAGUACCGUGAGGGAAAGAUGAAAAGAACUUCGAAAAGAGAGUUAAACAGUACGUGAAAUUGUCAAAAGGGAAGCGUUUGACACCAGUGUUGUUUUUCUGAAAAUCAAUUAAAGAACUGUUUAUGCUAAGCUGUUUAGACUUUAUCAGCUAUCUGUUUAGUUUUGAGCUUUUCUUUAAUGCACUUUUCAGUUAACAAGUCAACAUCAAUUUCUUUUGCUGUAAAAAAGCUUGAGGAAGGUGGCUUGAGAUUCGUCUUAAGUGUUUAUAGCCUCUUGCCUAUGCAGUCGGAGAGAUUGAGGUCUGCAGCGUAGAUCCUUCGGGGCUAAAUGCAUUUGUGCUAAGUUAUAACAUUUUAUAGACAACUUGUUGACUAUGAUUUGUCUUGUAGCUUACUCGCUUAUGUUAUUUUACCUACGCUUAGGAUGUUGAAGUCAUCGUAUCGCGC
rnacentral:rRNA from 1 species